AAGCCAUGGUGCGGCACUGCCUUCUUAGCUCCUUGAAUCUCUCCCAAGACUCAGUUAGAGAUUCACUUGCCAAUUGCUUGAAACUUUAGAUUACUCUCCUCAUCCU
rnacentral:snoRNA from 1 species